CCCUGGCUAGCUCUGUGAUGCUCCAGGGGCAAUGGUGAGAGCUGGGAAGUGGCUAGACUGGGGCUUUGCCUGAGCCAGAACCUCUAAGCCAGCCUAGCAGUACAGACCCCUGGAGGAGCCACAAGCACCAAGUGAAGGAGGCAGAGGAGGCUCUUCUGCGGUGCAAAAUCCAGCAAAUUUAUUAGGAGAAGCAGAAGCACCACAAACAGCCGAAAAUCACUAAAAGGGGAAUCACAAGCCAAAAAAGAGCAACACACCCCUGGGCCCGAGUUUUUAAAAUCUUUCAAAACAGAAGGUGGACACCAUAUAGUAACCCAUAAGUGAGUCUCGGGGUGUGGUUUUGAGGGCUACAACGAAUCAGAACAAGGGGAGGAGAGAGGGUUGGGAUAGGGAUUGGAUCAUAGGAUGAGGGACAGGGAACUUUCUGGAACAAAGGGUAGGGUUUGGGCUGAUGGACAGGGCAAAGGGGCCGGGUUGUCUUGACUGACAAGGAAAAAUCUGGGGAGAUUGCUGGAGGGACAGUUGGAUAGGAGGAUAUAACACAGGGGAGAAACUAACUGUAGUAACUCGGGGAACACCUGAACAUACCACAAGGUAACGGGGCAUGUGACUCAAUAAACUAACAUGCCGCAACCCAGGAAUUGAGGCUUUCAGCAGCUGCGAGGUGGCAGUGUUAGAACACGCAGCAGCUGGGGAAAGCCAUCUCUCUCUCACUCGGCUCUUGCUGUGUGGGAAGGUGCUGCGAGCUGUGGUGGCUGCGCUCAGCCUUGGCUGGGAGGAUGAUCUGCACCAGGAGAGAGCAGAAAGCUGCCACGGGAACAAAUACCCUGGAAGCAUUGUCUAGAGAUCUAAAAAGCUAAAGCCUCAGAGUACUUGAACCUAAACAUCCCCAAAUGGAUUCAUAAGCUAUUAUGGGCACAUCUCUGUUGUUUUCAGAGUCAAUGAAACUGACAAUGAAUGUCUGGAAAUUAGGAAAACCAGCCCAGAUUUUAUCUCCAUUACUCUAAGAACACCUUAAUGAGGCACUUCAGGAACUGAGCACUAACAUUCUCACCCUGCUCUAUUUACUUUACAUUUGAAUACAGGCUGGUAGGAGAAGAGAUCUGGCUUUAAUUUCUCCCCAAGUUACCUGUUGCACUUUCAGCUUAGGAGUACAUGUAAAAUGCAGCUAAUCACUCUCUCUAUCCAAGAAUAUUCCACUAGUGAACUGACAUACAGAAACAUCCUUUUUCUCUUUGUACCUUCAUAAGCCAUAUUGAACAGGAGACUUGCAUAAAUCAAACAGAAAAUCACCAAAAUUGCUGAAAUUAACACUCAAUUCCAUGAUAAAAGCUUCUGAGAAAACACCUGACAGGAUCACUGAACAAACUCAAGCAUUGAAGAGAAGCAUGCAUUUUAGCACUGAUCAAGGGGAAAGAAAAAGAAAUGCUGUAAAAAUUCCAAGUGGAAGAUAAGGAGAAAGACAGGAAGCACAGGAAGACCAAGGCCCUGUCAGAUGAACUGUGGAAGGUAACUUUGUGCCCCAGCUCUGUCAGAGGACGUUCCCUGUCAUUGGUGCAAGCAGCUGGAGACAGAAAUACUGCUUGAUUUGGGGGCCACAGUCUUGGUAAGUGCAGAGGUGGUUCAAUAACGUGACAUGAGGGAGUUCCCCCAGAGCAACUGGGAUGCCUGAAAGAAGUGAACAGCUCACCACAGCCUGGUCCACUCGGCUGCUUUCUCUUUCUAACCCUCCUGGGGAGGCUCUGACAUUUCCUCUUCCCUGAUGGAAGUGCAGCUGCUGCCAAGGGAAACGUCCCCAUACUGACUCAGUGUUCCCUUUGCUUCCCAGAUGUCCCAUCUGCUGUCCCUGUCCAGGAGAGCUGCUCUGCCCAGGAGGAAGAGACCGAGGGAGAGCCUGGGAACAUGGGGUGCUGCAAUCCCUCCUGAUCUAGUUCUGUUUAUGGAUGGGUACAAUUAGACUUGGAUAGUUACAAGUGUAGGGAUAUUUACAUAAAUAGACUGAUAUUUGUAUAGGGAUAUUAUGAAUGUGUAUCUAGUUACAUUUUUAGAUGUAUGUUAUAUGUGCGUGUGUAUAUUUAUAUUUAUAUAUGUAUACAUGUAAAUAUGUAAAUAUAUAAAUAUAUACAUAUAUGUAUGCAGUUAUAUAUAUGUGUAGCUAUGUAUUUAGUUGUAUUUAUAUGUCUGUGUUCACUUUACGCCCCUGCUUUGUUAUAUUCACAUAUGUGCACAGGUGUACAGCUCUAUAGUUCCACUGUUAAAGUUAGAUGGAUUUUUAUAUUGGUACAUUGAUAUUUGUAUUUAUAUAUAGGAUUUUUAUGUAUAUGUCUUAUUAUAUGUAACACUUAAUAUAUAUUUACAUUGCACAUUGUUAUGGUGGUGUAUUUACUUAUAUUGAAACACAUAUGGAUUUGUAUAGUUCUGAAAUUGUAUUCAUUUAGUUCUAGGUCUAGAGUUAUUUAGAGAGGAAUAUUGAUAUUCCUGUGUUUGUAUAUGGGCAGUACAGUUGUAGUAAUAUGUAAUAAAUUUAAUUGUUCAAUUGAUAUUUGUUUAUAGUGAGUGUUUGUAGAGAGUUUCAGUACAUUAGGGUUUUUUAACUAUUUGAUAUUUGUAAAUAUUUACAUUGCAUAAUAGUAACAAUAAAUUUGUUUUGUAACUGUAAAUUGAUAUUUGCAUAUUGGCAGCACCGGUGUAGCAACUUAUAAAAAAUUUUAUUUUUUAAACCUA